ACUCAAAUGAAUUGACGGGGGCUCACACAAGCGGUGGAGUAUGUGGCUUAAUUCGAGGCUACGCGCAAAACCUUAUCCCAGGCUUGACAUGCACGUGGUAGGAGGCGGAAACGCCGACGACCCCUCAAAAGGAGCGUGCACAGGUGCUGCAUGGCUGUCGUCAGCUCGUGCCGUGAGGUGUUGGGUUAAGUCCCCUAACGAGCGCAACCCCUGUGUCUAGUUGCCAGCGCGUCAUGGCGGGAACUCUAGACAGACCGCCGGCGUCAAGCCGGAGGAAGGCGGGGAUGACGUCAAGUCCUCAUGGCCCUUAUGCCUGGGGCUGCACACGUACUACAAUGGGGCGGACAAAGCGACGCCAAACCGCAAGGUCAAGCCAAUCGCAGAAACCGCCCCCCAGUUCGGAUUGCGGGCUGCAACCCGCCCGCAUGAAGCCGGAAUCGCUAGUAAUCGCGGAUCAGCAUGCCGCGGUGAAUGUGUUCCUGAGCCUUGCACACACCGCCCGU
rnacentral:rRNA from 1 species